rnacentral:rRNA from 1 species
UGAGGAAUAUUGCGCAAUGGGCGAAAGCCUGACGCAGCGACGCCGCGUGGGGGAUGAAGGUUUUCGGAUUGUAAACCCCUUUCGUGAGGAAAGAUAAAGUGGGUAACCACUUGGACGGUACCUCAAGAAGAAGCCACGGCUAACUUCGUGCCAGCAGCCGCGGUAAUACGAAGGUGGCAAGCGUUGUUCGGAUUUACUGGGCGUAAAGAGCACGUAGGCGGUUGGGUAAGCCUCUUGGGAAAUCUCCCGGCUUAACCGGGAAAGGUCGAGGGGAACUACUCAGCUAGAGGACGGGAGAGGAGCGCGGAAUUCCCGGUGUAGCGGUGAAAUGCGUAGAUAUCGGGAAGAAGGCCGGUGGCGAAGGCGGCGCUCUGGAACGUACCUGACGCUGAGGUGCGAAAGCGUGGGGAGCAAACAGG